rnacentral:lncRNA from 1 species
AUGACCCUAGUGGAGGAAACGCUCUCAUAUCACAACGAGGCGUUCAGCGAGUACGACUACUCCACCUCAAAUUUUUACGACAAACAAGGCAUCUACACCAAAAUAGAGGAACCACUGCCAUCAUCAUCUGUGAACUUACCAUCAGCUACCUUCAACAAAUCCUUACGGCAACCAAGACGCAAUUAUCUGGCACUGCGGCCCAACGGGAGGCCCGCGAACAGGUUUAACAAUAAAACUGUGACAUUUCACGACUAUGUUGUGGUUCGGGAAUGCGACGAGGAGUGUGAAGGAAAUACGGAGACUACGUUCACAACAGAGGCGGAGAUUUGUACCGAUUCAGAAGAAAUGAACAUGGAUUGUGAAUCAGGAAAUGACGAUUUAGAUCUCCCAGAAGAAUUUAAAAUACAAUCACAAAGAAUCACUUCAUAUUGUGACGACAUAGACAAUGAGUCAGAAAUGCUCAAAAUGAGUAGUGCUCAAUGCUCAAAACUAAAAAGAGUCAACCGAGACUUCGAAAUACAUAAUACGGACCACACACAAGUAAACAUGGACUUAGAAGAUAGAAUUCAUGCAAAACCACUAGAAAUAAGGCAACAAAAAAUAGCUGGAAAGCACCGAUUCAAGUCUAAUAUACAGAGAAUACGAAGACACUCAACUGAGAGUCAAGAAAGAGAUCAUACAGCAACACAAAACUCAGCAUCCGAAGAUACUACUACACAAGCAGAAUUCUCCAUUUUUCAAGGAGAGCCAUAUAUCAUUAACCUUAAAGCCUUGGUUUCAGAGGCCAAUAAACUGGCUGUCAACUAUUCAGAAGGCUUCAAAUCAGAUGGUACCAGAAGACCGGAUUAUCUUAAUUUAGAUCCUCAGAUUUCAGUAGCUGAAAUUUAUGUACAAAACAUUAAUGAUGUUCAUAACUUACAAACACAUCUAAGCACACUAACGCUUCACUCAGGUCAAUACAAUGGAUCUGAAGAACGUCUGGCAGUAGAAUCCAACAACACAGAAAGCUCAAACACAUAUUAUGUUAACGAGGACAUUGCAACAAAUUUAGAUGACAGCAGCCCAGAAGAGGACUCUGUAUCUAAUCUAGACACAAGCAGUCAACAUCUGAAAUAUCUUCAUGAUCCACGACACUCAGAUAGAAUGUUUCUGCAACACAGACACACAUGA